GAUGAACGCUAGCGGCAGGCUUAACACAUGCAAGUCGAGGGGCAGCGGGAUGUAGCAAUACAUUGCCGGCGACCGGCGCAAGGGUGCGUAACGCGUGAAUAACAUGCCUAUUACAGGAGGAUAAUCCAUGGAAACGUGGUCUAAUACUCCAUAGUAUAUUUGAGUGGCAUCACUUAGAUAUUAAAGCUUCGGUGGUAAUAGAUUGGUUCGCGUGACAUUAGCUAGAUGGAGAGGUAACGGCUCACCAUGGCUACGAUGUCUAGGGGUUCUGAGAGGAAGGUCCCCCACACUGGUACUGAGACACGGACCAGACUCCUACGGGAGGCAGCAGUGAGGAAUAUUGGACAAUGGAUGGAAAUCUGAUCCAGCCAUGCCGCGUGCAGGAAGACGGCCCUAUGGGUUGUAAACUGCUUUUGUAUGGGAGCAAUAAGCUCUACGUGUAGAGUGAUGAGAGUACCAUACGAAUAAGCAUCGGCUAACUCCGUGCCAGCCGCCGCAGUAACAC
rnacentral:rRNA from 1 species